UACGUAGGGCGCGAGCGUUGUCCGGAAUUAUUGGGCGUAAAGAGCUCGUAGGUGGCUUGUUGCGUCUGCCGUGAAAGCCCGUGGCUUAACUACGGGUCUGCGGUGGAUACGGGCAGGCUAGAGGCUGGUAGGGGCAAGCGGAAUUCCUGGUGUAGCGGUGAAAUGCGCAGAUAUCAGGAGGAACACCGGUGGCGAAGGCGGCUUGCUGAGCCAGUUCUGACGCUGAGGAGCGAAAGCGUGGGGAGCGAACAGG
rnacentral:rRNA from 1 species